AAAUAUCAAUCAGGCAGCUGUUCUGCGGACGAAGAGGAAUUUGAACUUGUCACCUUAGCGGGUCCAGGCUGGACUCUCCGCCUUCACUGACUCCCCGGACUUUCAGGGAGCAGCAGGACCCCCGGCCUUCCCUCUCCAGUCGGUGGCUGCUCAGGUCGGAACCCUGGCGACAUCCUCGGCUCAGCUCCUCCGCUCGCCAACCGCUGCUCUGUCAGGAAACCCAUCGGCUGCACUUUCAAAAUGCGCCUAGAAUCUUCUCCCCACGUCCACGUGCCCAGCCUCGUCCAGGACGCGGUCAUCUCUUGCCACAGCCCCUAACCCUGUUCUGCCCCUCUGCUCACCUCUGCCACUCCCCACCCCCAGCCUCUUCUUGCACAGCGGCCAGAGUGAUCCUGUUACAAUGUCAGUCAGGUCAUGUCACCAUUCAGCUCAAAACCCUGCGAUGGCUCCAUCUCUUGCUGAGUAGAAGCCACAGUCUGUGUGGUGGCCUGAGGGCCCAACGUGGUCUACCCUCCAGCCCCCCACCCCCAGCACUGCAGCCCUCAUCUCACCUGCUGUGCUCAGGCCUCCGUGCUUGUCUUCAAACUCUUCAGGCAAGUGCUUGCCUCAGGGCCUUUGCACUGGCUGUUCCCGUGCCCGGCAUGCUCUUCCUCCAGGCUGUGGAGGGAGCAUCCCGGUGUCGGUGUCCCCCUGAGAGGUGCCCUUCUCGUAUUUGGGUCCCCGGUGCCAGCCCAGUUCUCAUCGACAGGAGAGAAGGCCGUGCGCAGACUCGGUGGAUGUUAGACAGCCUCGGAAGAGCCAAGAGUCCUCACCGUUCUGGACAGUGUCGCUGUUGGGGUGUGGCGUCCUGGCUCAGAGCUCCGCAUUCCUGUCCACCUGCGGCUGUCACCUUCACGAUGGUUCUGUGGGGCUGCGAGCUCCUGACCAUCUCAUCGCGUCUCCCAGAGCGGCUAGGCUGGAGCACUGAUGUGUCCAACAAGGUUUCAUUUCACACGAGGUUCUUCAUGCUUCUUUAUAUUACAG
rnacentral:lncRNA from 1 species